rnacentral:rRNA from 1 species
UGGGGAAUUUUGGACAAUGGGGGAAACCCUGAUCCAGCCAUCCCGCGUGUGCGAUGAAGGCCUUCGGGUUGUAAAGCACUUUUGUCAGGAAAGAAACGUCAUGGGUUAAUACCCCGUGAAACUGACGGUACCUGCAGAAUAAGCACCGGCUAACUACGUGCCAGCAGCCGCGGUAAUACGUAGGGUGCAAGCAUUAAUCGGAAUUACUGGGCGUAAAGCGUGCGCAGGCGGUUCGGAAAGAAAGAUGUGAAAUCCCAGAGCUCAACUUUGGAACUGCAUUUUUAACUACCGGGCUAGAGUGUGUCAGAGGGAGGUGGAAUUCCGCGUGUAGCAGUGAAAUGCGUAGAUAUGCGGAGGAACACCGGUGGCGAAGGCAGCCUCCUGGGGUAACACUGACGCUCAUGCACGAAAGCGUGGGGAGCAAACAGG